ACAUACUUAUGCCAGUAAAAGCCACAGCUUUUCUCCUCCAAUCCAAGAAGCCUGGACUGCAGUCACCAUCUCAACACACCAACCAAGAGAAAGGCGGAUGGCUCAAUUCAAUAUGGAAAAUUGCACAAUAAAAGUUCCAGGACAUGAAGGCUGCAUACUGUGAACGUCAACCUUCAGGGCACCGUCCUGCGCAGAAGACUUUCUACCCUAAGAGGGAUGGCUGACCGCAGACACUCACAACCAGCACAGACGCCUCCAACCUCAAACUAGGCCCUUCACAGUUGCUGCACUUACCCACCUUCCCAGAGUUUUUGUGUGGUAAUGACAACUGUAAAUAUAGUAUAAAGUAAUGUAUCUAGUGUCAUGUGUAAUGCAUUGU